CUCAGCGGCACGCCCUACUCCCCCAGCGCCAGGGCAGCAGCGGCCGGAAAACCCGGGCCAAAGUACUGGCAUGGAGACCCUCCACUGAAGGACCCAGGUCUAGAUAUGGAUGGUGGCACCGCACAGCCAGAGCAGACCAGAGCAGAGAGGAGUGGAACUGAGGCAUCAGGCUGGAAAAUAGAGCUUCAGAGAGCUACAACCCCCUGAGGAGUGACCACAGGAAACGUCCCAUCACGGGGACCAGCUGAGGAGCACAGCAAACUCCCUGGUGGGGCGGGAUGGGGACAGGAGGCUACAGAGAGAGACAAAGAGGCAGUCAUGGAAAAAGAGAGAAAGAGAGAGGGCAGAGAAGCAGGACACAGGCAGGCAGCGGGGAUGCCCAGGGCAAGGAUGCCCAGCUGGAGAAACUGGACCUUCGCAUUCCAUCCACGCCCUGGUCGUGCUCCGAGUGGCACAAGUGUUGCACCGGCGGCCGGCUUGCUUUUGCCCGACCGGCUCAUGCCCCCUGGUGGUGGCGACCUGUCAUUGUCAUUGCAGCGCUGGUCUCGGCUUCCGACUUCCCCACCGCUUCUCCCUCUGGUGGCCAGCCCUUCCCAGGCCCUGCUCCUGACUCAGCCUGGACCAAGCCGCGCUGAUUCACCUCCAAGGAGCCUUCCCACACCCACACCUGCCUGGCUUCAAAGGAGUUUCCUAGCAGUUCCUGCUGAGAAGCCCAGGUGGGCUGAGAUUCCCCAGAAAUCAUUUCAAGUGCUGAGAGAUAGUGGGUCACAGUGCAUGGGCCUGUGGUCCCAGCAACUCAGGAGGCUGAGGCAGGAGGAUCACAAGUUCGAGGCCAGCCACGACUCAGUGAGACCCUAAGCAACUCAGUGAGACUCUGUCUCUAAAUAAAAUACAAAAUAGGGCUGGGGAUGUGGCUCAAUGGUGGAGUGCCCUUGAGUUCCAUCCCCAGUACCCACCUGCCCAUACCCAAGAAGAGAUAAUCACUCCAGAGUCACAGGGAACUUUUGAUAAAGAGGAAUUGAUAGUAAAGUAACAAAGUCUGGAUGUCUAUGGAGCCUGUGUUCCAACCCUUCCCAGGACAGCAUCACAAACUGGGAAGUGCCACUCAAAAAAAAAAUGGCUUCUAAAGCGAAGAAUAUUGAAGUUGAAAAUAAAAAUAAGUGGUCUGCUGUCCCACUAGACAAGUUGGAACCUAUGGCUCAUAUACAGGUCCCUUCCAGUGGGAAAGGGCUGUCCAGAAAUUUCACAUUUCUCAUAGGGUGACCCACAUUAAAGACCUCACUGAAAAAUACCACAUAUCCCUUCUGGCAACAGCUCUUCCUAUUCUAAAAUUGCUAGGUAAAAUAUUUACCCUGGUAGAAACAGAUUCAGAGAAUGCUCAGGAAAAAAAUGACUCCAAAAUACACUGCUGAGCCUUUCAGAGAACUUUCAUAGUGUGUGUGUUUCUGCAGCCUGGGGACUGAUCCCAGGAAUGAACCCACAGGUUAAGCAAGUGCUCCACCAUAAGCUACAUCCCAGCCCCCUUUUUUUUAAAAGUCAUUUAUAUCAUUGAUUUUUAAUAAACUAGGUAGAAAACUUGCAGAGAAAUGAUGGUUGUAAGUGUCGACAUGCCAACCAUGAAGGAAAGAAGUCAGAUUUCCUGAACUUUUGGUUCCACUAAAAGAAAAGAGAGUUACUAAUUAACUCUCUUCUUAUUGUUUCUUCUCUCUCUCUCUCUCUUCUCUCUCUCUCUGUACUAGGGAAUGAACCUAGGGAUGCUUAACCACUGAGCCACAUCCCCAGUCCUUUUACAUUUUUAUUUUGAGACAGAGUCUUGCUGAGGGGUUGAGGCUGGCCUCAGCUGCCUGAGUUGUGGGGAUUACAGGCAGGUGCCACUGUGCCCUACCUAAUUAACUCUCUUCUGAUGAGAAGAUUUUUAAAUAAAUUUCUUAACACAAAUUAGGACAACACAUGACUGGAAACUAUAUUCAAUUCACUUUUUCCACAAAACUACUUAGAAAUAAAAAAUAUGCUUAUUUUCAAAUACCAAUUAAUCAACACAAGAUAUAUCAAAUAGCUAUAUCAUUUGGAAUCUUAAAAUGGUAACAAUUAGCAAAUACGUUCACAGCAACAAUCAUUCAAAUAUCAUUCUCAAACAUCAGAGAUUUAUUACAUGUUAGCUGUCUCAGAGUUUUUCAGUGGUAAUACAUUAAAAAUCAUACAUGUCGGAUAAAAGCAUCAGUGCGAUUAUUUUAUAAUUCAGUUGCAAUCAAAAUGCUAGCAGGGCCUGUUUUCUCCACACAUGCCAAAAAUCAGUUUCUAUAAUGGCAGGAUACACUCAAAUAUUAACUUAGCUAUGCUUUCUAAAAAUAAUUUGUUCAAGAAAUAUUCUUUCUCCAACUGGGUGUGAUGGCACAACUGUAAUCCCAGCAUUUUAGGAGGCUAAGACAAUAGGUUCAAAAGUUUGAGGCCAGCCUCAGCAAUACAGCAAUAUAAAAGGGGUGGUGGGAUGUAGCUCAGCAAUAAAGGACCCCUAGCUUCAAUUCUCAGUACUGAAAAAAUAUAUAUGCAUUUAUUUUUUAUUAUCUCUCCAGGAACCCCAGUUCAUCUCCUUUCUUUUUUAUUCUCUUUCAAAAUUAGGGACUUGUUUUUAGUAACAUUUGAGAUCAGUAAUUCAUUUGCCACUACAUUAAACUUAGAGUUUAAUGCCUAUGUUAUCACUAAUUAACGAAUAUUAUUUAAAAUGAGUCCCACAAAAUAUGAUUUUCUACCCCAAAUGUUACAGUCACCUUGUGAAUACAUUAAAGGAUUAUUUAUUACAUUCUGUUGUCACCAAGGAAAAUAUGCUUUGUAGCUUAAACAAAAACUAGUUCAACUUCAGUAUUUCACUGUCAUAUUAAAUCUCCUGGCCUGGAAAAAAAUAAAAAUAAAAAUAAAAUCUUUUAAAAGCA